rnacentral:rRNA from 1 species
GAGUUUGAUCAUGGCUCAGAUUGAACGCUGGCGGCAGGCCUAACACAUGCAAGUCGAGCGGAUGACGGGAGCUUGCUCCUUGAUUCAGCGGCGGACGGGUGAGUAAUGCCUAGGAAUCUGCCUGGUAGUGGGGGACAACGUUUCGAAAGGAACGCUAAUACCGCAUACGUCCUACGGGAGAAAGCAGGGGACCUUCGGGCCUUGCGCUAUCAGAUGAGCCUAGGUCGGAUUAGCUAGUUGGUGGGGUAAUGGCUCACCAAGGCGACGAUCCGUAACUGGUCUGAGAGGAUGAUCAGUCACACUGGAACUGAGACACGGUCCAGACUCCUACGGGAGGCAGCAGUGGGGAAUAUUGGACAAUGGGCGAAAGCCUGAUCCAGCCAUGCCGCGUGUGUGAAGAAGGU